CGAAAACAGAAAACCCUCACUCGUCGAAACCACUGACCCUAAGCUCCGUCUCCGUCUUCGUCAACUUCUUGAUCCCAGCACAAGCGCAGGAGGGCCUCCUUGGUAGGUUUCAGGAUCGGCUCCCCCUAUGGCUGUGCAAGUUUUUUUUUAGGGCAAGAGGGAGGUGUACAUGAGAGUAGAAGAUCAAGGAGUUCUGGACGGAGUUCUUGGUGAAUAGUUGGGGUGCAUCAACGGCAUGGUCAGGGUCACCUUCAGCUAUCCACUCGACACGCUCCGUAUCCGCCUGCAACAGCCACCGCCGACUCUCGCUUCCUCAAAUUCCUUCGCCCUUGCCCGAUGAUCCAUCUCGGGCAUCGACCUCCUUCGUAGAAUCGUCGCUCGGGAGGGCCUCACAGUGCUUUACCGCAGCAUGGUCGCGCUGCUCACCUCCGUUUCAGGCCAAAACAACAAAGAAGAUUGUGUUGACACGCCAGAGCUGUAAGCAUUAUUCACAUCAUCCAAUAAAAAGAUGCAAGCACUUUGAGAUUGGAGGAGACAAAAAGGGCUAGGGAACUUCUCUCUUCUCGUUUGUUUUUUUUUCCAAAUUCUAGGGAGCAACAACUACAUGCUAUGUGGCAUUGCAUCCGAACCUCAGGAGUGUGACUGGAAAGUACUUCGACGAAGAACUAUCAAGAAGGCUUUGGGAUUUAAGUGAGAAGAUGGUUAAAGUCAAUGAGUAAAGAGCAUUCAAGUUAAGAGGAUAAGUAGCAUCUAUCAAGAUCCUUUAAGUUCAUGUAAUAAGAUGUAGUUGAUAGGACUAGUUUUGAGUAUCUUCUAAUUAAAAUUUCUUUGUACACGAGUAAUUAUGUUUGUUAUAGAAGUGUAAGGAUGAUAAUUUAUAUAUUUAUCUCAGUUGUUUAUUUAAUAAUA